UCAAGUUCCUCCUAUUGACUAUAUAACCCUUAGCAACCAACCUAGCCUUGUACCUCUCUAUUUCCCUUGAGGCCUUAUAUUUGAUUUUAAAAUCCACUUACACCUAAUAGGGGUCUUACCAGGAGGUAGAUUCACUAUGCUCCAUGUAUGAUUUGCUUCCAAGGCAUUAAUUUCAAGCUAUAUUUCUUCUACCCACUUGGGAUACACCACUACUUUUGUAAAGUUCCUAGGUUUAGUAGCAGCUGAGUAAGCUGACACUGUAUCUCUAUAAGGAGGUUUGACAUUAUCAUAGGUGGCAUAUGAGGAAAUUAGAUAGUGUCACACAUUUUUUUCUUAGAAGUGGUCACAUAAUCUUGCAUCUAGAGAUGGGGGUCUCCCCUGUCUACUUUAUCAUUGCAUCUAGAGGUGGUUCAGGUAAAUGUUCAUCAAGGCCUAGAUUUUCUACAGUUAGUGCCAUAGUUGCAGAAGGUUGAGUCUCCAAUUGACCUUCAAUAUCAGAUAAAUGAAGUGAAGGACCAGAGACCCUUGUAGUACCACUGGAUGGUGUAACAUUUAGAUCAGUUAAGCGACACUCACCUAGUGAUACUAAGUCAAGAACAUGAAAUAUAGGAUUGCAUGCAUCCUUCAUGUUCUUGAAAGGAAAUAAAUAUUCCUGAAACACCACAUUCCUACGUACAAAGAAGGAAUUUGUAUGCAAAACAUAUAGCUUCUAUCCCUUUUGAGAGGGAGAAUAUCCAAUCAAUACUACUUGAAUGGUUCUGGAAGCAAACUUAUGCUCUUUUGAACUAGCUGCAUAACAGAGAUAUCCAAACACUCUAAGAUGUGAAAGAGAAGGAGAUUGCAAAUGAAGCAUCUCAAAAGGAGACUUGUCAUGUAGAACUCUAAUGGUAGGCUAGGAGCCAAUGUUUUUAACUAUAAUUUGUACUCUAGUUACUACACUUUGAUUGGAUUUAACCCUAAUUGUUAGUACUUUGUACUUAUUACGUAUGUUAUACUGUGUAGGAUGUGAUUUCGAGUGGAGAAACAAGAUUGAAGAUAAAAUGGAUGAUUUGAAGCUUUGAAGUCUGAGUAGAAGCCCAAGAAAUUAAGUCGGGAUCAUGUUCAGGGGUCGAGGACCAAGUAUGGAAGUCAAAAAGUGAGAAAAAAGAUUACUCUAGAAAAAAUGCACUAUCGCGCCGUGCCAUGCGCCGCGGGGCAUGGGUUGCUAGUGCAAAAUUCUUACAGAGUGAAAACAAAAUCAACUCUAUGAACUUUUUCACUAAUGCGGUGCAUGGUACGCCGCCCCGGGCACUGCGCCUAUGUAAUUUCCUUAGAGUAAUUUUCCACUUCGGCUAGAAAAGGGUAGUUUUGUCGAGUCUUGUUCCUACAUGGUAUAAAUACACCAACAACGUAAUUUUUAGAGGGCUUUUGACCUUGGAAGCUUUUGGAGAGCAUUGGAGGCUACACGACACGCGAUUUUAUCAUAUUUCCAUCAAUUCAAUAUGAGAGCUUGGAUUGUAACGUUGGAUUGAUAUUUUCUUACUCUUUAAUUCUAUUUGUGAUUACCUCCUCCAUGAUUAUGGAGUAGUUUCUAUUAGGGGUUGACAUGAUUUUGUGACUCGAUUAUUAUCUAUGGAUUUGAUCAUUAUUUGAUUGCUUGAGUUUAUUAAAAGAGCUUUAACGCU
rnacentral:lncRNA from 1 species